rnacentral:rRNA from 1 species
GACGAACGCUGGCGGCGUGCUUAACACAUGCAAGUCGAACGGAAAGGCCCUGCUUGCCGGGUGCUCGCGUGGCGAACGGGUGGGUAACACAUGGGUGAUUUGCCCCUUACUUUGGGUUAAGCCUGGGAAACUGGGUCUAAUACAGGCUAGGACAAUGCUGUAGGUGGUGUGGUGGAUAGUUUAGUUUCGGUAAGGUAUGAGCUCGCGGCCUAUCAGCUAGUUGGUGGGGUAAUGGCCUACCAAGGCGUCGCCGAGUAGCCGGCGUGAGAGGGUGGACGGCCACACUGGAACUGAAGCACGGUCGAGACACCUACGGCAGGCAGCAGUAGGGAAUCUGCCGCAAUGGGCGAAAGCCUGACGGAGCAACGGGGCGUGAGUGAUGAAGGUCUUCGGAUCGUGAACCUCUGUUAUUAGGGAAGAACAAAUGUGGAAGUAACUAUGCGCGUCUUGACGGUACCUAAUCAGAAAGCCACGGCUAACUACGUG